GACGAACGCUGGCGGCGUGCCUAACACAUGCAAGUCGAACGGAGUUCAUUUAGAAAUAGGCUUCGGCUGAAAUAAGAAUGAGCUUAGUGGCGGACGGGUGAGUAACGCGUGAGCAACCUGCCUUACAGAGGGGGACAACAGCUGGAAACGGCUGCUAAUACCGCAUGAUACAGAGAUACCGCAUGGUAUUUCUGUCAAAGAUUUUAUCGCUGUAAGAUGGGCUCGCGUAUGAUUAGAUAGUUGGUGAGGUAAUGGCUCACCAAGUCAACGAUCAUUAGCCGGACUGAGAGGUUGAACGGCCACAUUGGGACUGAGAUACGGCCCAGACUCCUACGGGAGGCAGCAGUGGGGAAUAUUGCGCAAUGGGGGAAACCCUGACGCAGCAACGCCGCGUGAAGGAUGAAGGUUUUCGGAUUGUAAACUUCUUUUGUCGAGGACGAAACAAAUGACGGUACUUGACGAAUAAGCCACGGCUAACUACGUG
rnacentral:rRNA from 2 species